AGCAGCGUAGCUCAACGGUAGAGCACCUGGCUCAUAACCAGGUGGGUGCGGGUUCAAGUCCCGCCGCUGCGACCU
rnacentral:tRNA from 1 species